rnacentral:rRNA from 1 species
AGAGUUUGAUCAUGGCUCAGAUUGCACGCUGGCGGCAUGCUUUACACAUGCAAGUCGAACGGUAACAGGCCGCAAGGUGCUGACGAGUGGCGAACGGGUGAGUAAUGCAUCGGAACGUGCCCAGUCGUGGGGGAUAACGCAGCGAAAGCUGCGCUAAUACCGCAUACGAUCUAUGGAUGAAAGCGGGGGACCGUAAGGCCUCGCGCGAUUGGAGCGGCCGAUGUCAGAUUAGGUAGUUGGUGAGGUAAAGGCUCACCAAGCCAACGAUCUGUAGCUGGUCUGAGAGGACGACCAGCCACACUGGGACUGAGACACGGCCCAGACUCCUACGGGAGGCAGCAGUGGGGAAUUUUGGACAAUGGGCGCAAGCCUGAUCCAGCAAUGCCGCGUGCAGGAAGAAGGCCUUCGGGUUGUAAACUGCUUUUGUACGGAACGAAACGGCUCUCACUAAUACUGGGGGCUAAUGACGGUACCGUAAGAAUAAGCACCGGCUAACUACGUGCCAGCAGCCGCGGUAAUACGUAGGGUGCAAGCGUUAAUCGGAAUUACUGGGCGUAAAGCGUGCGCAGGCGGUUGUGUAAGACAGGCGUGAAAUCCCCGGGCUCAACCUGGGAAUUGCGCUUGUGACUGCACAGCUGGAGUGCGGCAGAGGGGGAUGGAAUUCCGCGUGUAGCAGUGAAAUGCGUAGAUAUGCGGAGGAACACCGAUGGCGAAGGCAAUCCCCUG